rnacentral:rRNA from 1 species
UGGGGAAUUUUGGACAAUGGACGCAAGUCUGAUCCAGCCAUGCCGCGUGCGGGAAGAAGGCCUUCGGGUUGUAAACCGCUUUUGUCAGGGAAGAAACGCUCUGGGUUAAUACCUCGGGGUAAUGACGGUACCUGAAGAAUAAGCACCGGCUAACUACGUGCCAGCAGCCGCGGUAAUACGUAGGGUGCAAGCGUUAAUCGGAAUUACUGGGCGUAAAGCGUGCGCAGGCGGUUAUGCAAGACAGAGGUGAAAUCCCCGGGCUCAACCUGGGAACUGCCUUUGUGACUGCAUAGCUAGAGUACGGUAGAGGGGGAUGGAAUUCCGCGUGUAGCAGUGAAAUGCGUAGAUAUGCGGAGGAAUACCGAUGGCGAAGGCAGCCAUCUGGCCUAAUACUGACGCU